AUGCUCAGCCUAGUCCACUCUUGCGCCUUGGAGCUGGAGCCACAGCUGGCAUCAUCGCCAUGUCUGCUGCUUAUCCCAUGGAUAUGGUUAGGGGUAGGAUUACUGUUCAGACAGAGAAGUCUCCCCGUGGUAUGUUUCAUGCAUUGGACACAGUGUACUGUGAAGAAGGCUUUCAGUGCUCUAUACAGAGGGAGGCUUCCGUCAUUGAUUGGAGCUGUCCCUUAUGUUGGACUUAACUUUGCUGUAUACGAUUCUCUGAAGAACUGGCUCCUCUGGACAAAUGCAUUUGGUCUUGCAAAGUACAACGAGUUUCAGAUUGUAACAAGGCUUGGAUUUGGAGCUGUGGCUGUAACCAUAGGGAAGACUGGCGUACCCUCUUUGAUGCUGUCAGGAGAAGAAUGCAGAUGGUUGGCUGGAACCUGGAAUCACGCUGCUUCUGUUGUUCACUGGAGGAGGCAAAGAGGCAUUCAGGAAGAAUGCAGAUGGUCGGCUGGAAUCACGCUGCUUCUGUUGUUAAUGGAGAACGCAAAGAGGCAUUCAGGAAGAAUGCAGAUGGUCGGCUGGAAUCACACUGCUUCUGUUGUUACUGGAGAAGGCAAAGAGGCACUCCAGUACAAUGGUAUGACUGAUGCAUUCAGGAAACUGUUGGCCACGAAGGAUUUGGUGCUCUGUUCAAGGGUCUUGUGCCCAACUCAGUGA
rnacentral:rRNA from 1 species